UACGUAGGGUGCAAGCGUUGUCCGGAAUUAUUGGGCGUAAAGAGCUCGUAGGCGGUCUGUCGCGUCUGCUGUGAAAACUCAGGGCUUAACCCUGAGCUUGCAGUGGGUACGGGCAGACUAGAGUGCGGUAGGGGAGACUGGAAUUCCUGGUGUAGCGGUGAAAUGCGCAGAUAUCAGGAGGAACACCCGUGGCGAAAGCGGCUCUCUGGGACGGUACUGACGCUGAGACGCGAAAGCGUGGGGAGCGAACAGG
rnacentral:rRNA from 1 species